rnacentral:rRNA from 1 species
GACGAACGCUGGCGGCGUGCUUAACACAUGCAAGUCGAACGGAAAGGCCCUGCUUUUGUGGGGUGCUCGAGUGGCGAACGGGUGAGUAACACGUGAGUAACCUGCCCUUGACUUUGGGAUAACUUCAGGAAACUGGGGCUAAUACCGGAUAGGAGCUCCUGCUGCAUGGUGGGGGUUGGAAAGUUUCGGCGGUUGGGGAUGGACUCGCGGCUUAUCAGCUUGUUGGUGGGGUAGUGGCUUACCAAGGCUUUGACGGGUAGCCGGCCUGAGAGGGUGACCGGCCACAGUGGGACUGAGAUACGGCCCAGACUCCUACGGGAGGCAGCAGUGGGGAAUAUUGCACAAUGGGCGGAAGCCUGAUGCAGCAACGCCGCGUGCGGGAUGACGGCCUUCGGGUUGUAAACCGCUUUCGCCUGUGACGAACGUGAGUGACGGUAAUGGGUAAAGAAGCACCGGCUAACUACGUG